rnacentral:rRNA from 1 species
AUGGAGGCGCCGCCGCCGCUGACGGCGGGCGCGGUGACGGAGAUAUGGGAGCUCCCGAACGGGCCGGCGACGUUCCAGCCGGUGCUGCAGGUCGCGGACCUUCGCCCCGUCGUCGCCAAGAACACGACCGCGGCGGCGGCCGCGGCGCAGCACUCGGAGCGGUUCCGCAUGCUGCUCUCCGACGGCGUCCACUCCCAGCAGUCCAUGCUCGGCACCGGCCUCAACGACCUCAUAAAGGACGGAACCCUCCGCGUCGGCUCCAUCGUCCACCUCACGGACAUGACGUGCAACACCAUCCAGAAACGCAGGAUCGUUAUUGUUGUCAAACUUGAAGUUCUCCAAAGUGAGUGCCCCAAAAUUGGGACACCAAAGACUUAUGAGAAAAGCUUACCUGAGGGACAGGAGCCUAACUUACCGGCCAAUGCUGCUCAAACAAACAGUGGAAACUAUUCUGGUGGCCCAGGCAUGCUGGGGUCUGCAGUUGCUCCAAGGGUGGAACAGAUUGGUAACAAUCUGUCAUAUGGUAGACCCAACAACGGUGGCCCAGGCGUGGACUCUUCAAUUUGUCAGUCUGUUCAACCUGGUGCUAACAAUGUGUUGUCUGGUGGAACUUAUGGUACAAUGUCAGCACAGAACACAAUGAAUGCCAAUGUGGUGCAGCCAAACUCUCAUCAAAACCAAAGUUUUGUGGUUCCUGGCACAGGUGGGGGCUUUGGGCCUCCUCGCAAUAUAUAUGGGCGCCCUGCACAGUCUUCAUAUCAGCAGCCACCUCCACCCCAUAGAAAUAGUGGCCCAGUUGCUAAAAAUGAAGCUGCUUCUCGUGUUAUUCCAAUUUCUGCACUGAACCCAUACCAACGUACAUGGACAAUAAAGGCUAGGGUGACUGCGAAGGCUCAUGUCAAGAACUUCAAUAAUGCAAGAGGUCCAGGAAAAGUCUUCUCCUUUGAUCUCCUUGAUGCAAAUGGUGGAGAAAUUCGUGCAACAUGCUUUGGCGCGGCAGUUGAUCAGUUCUAUGACUUAAUUGAGGUUGAUAAGGUGUACUUGGUAUCUAGGGGAUCGCUAAAACCCGCAAACAAGAGGUUUAGCCCUUUAAACAAUGACUAUGAAAUAAACCUUGAGCCUUCAUCAUCUAUAGAAGUUUGUUCUGGUGAUGAUAGCAGCAUCCCUAAGCAGCAGUUCAAUUUUCGGCAGAUCAGCGAAAUUGCAAACAUGGAUAAAGAUACCACAGUAGACUUGCUUGGGGUUGUUACUUCAGUUAGGCCUUCUUUUACAGUAAUGCUUAAGAAUGGCGGGGAAACCCAGAAAAGAGUCCUUCAACUGAAGGACAUGUCUGGUUGCAGUGUGGAAAUGACCUUUUGGGGUAACUUCUGUGAUGCUGAAGGUCAGCAGCUGCAGUCGCUGUGCGAUUCUGGUUUGAAUCCUAUACUUGCGCUGAAAUCUGGUCGAGUUGGUGAAUUCAACGGCAAAACAGUGGGUACAACUAGCUCAAGUUUGUUAAAAAUAAAUCCGGAUUUCCCUGAAGCUGAAAGGCUGAGGCAGUGGUACAUAACUGAAGGAAAAAUUGCUGCCUGCACUUCUUUAUCUGGGGAAAUGUCAAGCAUGGGCAGGACUGAUAUCCGGAAAAAAACUGCACAGAUCAAGGAUGAACGCAUGGGGCAAUCAGAAAAGCCUGAUUGGAUCACCGUUCAAGGUGCAAUUUCACAAAUCUACACUGAUAAUUUUUGUUACCCAGCAUGCACCAGGGAGGUUAAUGGUAAAAGCUGCAACAAAAAGGUAACAAAUAAUGGUGAUGGGAUGUGGCUAUGUGAGAAAUGCGAUCAGAGCUCUGAAACUUGUGAGUAUAGAUACCUGCUGUCAUGCCAUAUCCAGGAUCAUACUGGGUCCACCCAUGCAACUUCAUUCCAAGAGGCUGGCCAGGAGAUUAUCGGCCUCUCAGCACAAGAUCUUUUCAGGAUAAAGCAUGAAGAGCAAGAUGAUGUACGGUUUGCAGAAAUCAUACAGCAGGUCCGAUUUCAGCAAUACCUAUUCAAGCUGAAAGUCAAGGAAGAAGUCUAUAAUGAUGAGCCGCGUGUGAAGUGCAACAUUGUUAAGGCUGAAAGAUACGACCCAGUGAAAGAGAGUCGUUUUUUUCUGGGGGCCAUUGAUAGCCUUUUGGCGGAGGACGCUUCAGGCUCUUCUCCUGGGCUGAAUGGUGGUCCUGCUGUUAAUGCUGGCUUCGCCAACUCAGAAGCUGGACAGAGUGUGCCAGCUUCCAACAAUUCCUAUGCUGUGAAUAUGGGUGGCCCAAAUCAGUUUGGGCAGCAAUUCAGCGCAUCUCGCGGGAUGCCGACUGCACCAUCAGCGACACCAGCAGCAGGUAGCGGCUUCGCGGUUAAUUCCUAUGGUCCUUCAGCUGCCAAUGCCAGCUCAGGCUUGUGCUUCAAAUGUAACCAGCCUGGGCACUUUUCAAGAGACUGUCCAGGGCAGGCUGCCUCCUACAGUUCUUCGGUUGGCGGCAACGCCAACUCUGGUCUGUGCUUCAAAUGUAAUCAGCCUGGGCACUUCGCGAGAGACUGUCCGGCACAGGCUGCUGGCCACCAGCACCAGACGUAUGCGAAUGGCGCCGCAUCAGGAGGAUACAACAGGCAAUCCUAUGUUGGUAGUUAA